GGAGGUAAAGCAGGGCCCUAAGGGCAAGCGGCGUUGGAAGGGAGGGGUGUUGGGGGUCCAGGCCGAGCUCCGAGCCCUCUGGGGUCACCUCAGUCCUGAGGGCAGAGACUGGCUUCUUACUCCACUUCCCUCUCCUCUCUGUCCCCCCAUCUCAGUGUGUGUUCCAGAGGUGACAAGGGCUUCUCCACCCACAGAAGCCUCCCCCUGGGGAGGACUCACACAGACCCAUCCUAGAAGAAAAUGGGCUAUCACCUCUCCUCUGGUUGACGACCCCCAGAGCCCCAAGAGCCCUGGCUGAUUCCUGGUGUGUUCCGGACUUGCCGAGGAUGGGACCAGCACACAGCAGGUGCUCAACAAACCUUCACAGGCCCCGUGGUGGACGUUGGGACAGCACAGUCCACAAUGCCUCGGACACCAUCUCCCGACCCAGCUCCCCUGCAGCAGAUUUCUCUCCCCACUUUCUUCCCCAGACCCCCUCCCUGGGGCCCAGUGCCCGCAGCUUCUCUUGGGCCCCUCUCAGGACCAAGAUAAAGAUGAGGAAGAGCUUUCUCAAGGCUGGAGGCCCACUGAGGAGGCUGGUCCUCCCUCGGAGUGACAGCCAGGUGACCCUGGGGGCCUGGUGCUGCUGUGAGGGAGUUGGGGUUCACCUGUGCCCCAGCUGAAAACCCCACCACCCCCGGCGUCACCCUUUCUCCAAUAAGUUCUCAUGGUGAGCUCACGCCUUCCAUAGGUGUUAUUAAUAUGACAACCUCGCUGCCUCUCCCAGCCCCCGAGUCAGGUCAGGCUUUUUAAUUAGCCCCACCAAUAAAUGUGUCAGAAGUCCCCUUAAAAAUAUGUCUCUCUUCCAGGGCCAUGCUGAGUGACGAUGUAAAUGGGGCUUAGACACCAGGCACGGUUGUCUCAAACUCCUCAUGCAGUGGCAUCGCCUGAGAACAGGGGAGCCCACCCACCUGCCCAGGGAUCUAAACGCUCAGCCCUGCCAGGCCCCUGACCAUGGUGGGGUGUCCCCUGGGGCCCCAACUUCACCAGGGAUGGUGGGGAAAGAGGGGGCUAUGGUUGGUGGGCUGGAGGCACCCACAGCAGCUCAAGCCCAGCCCUUGUAGGCUGUGCCGGGCGGCAGGUUUUGUCUUUGGCCUCCACCCAUGUCUUAGGGGGUAACCUGGUGUUCUGGAAGGGGUUUCUUUCCAAAGACGGUGGCCCCAGGGACCAUGGGGAGGGCGUCCAGCCCCUUGGUGCUGGUAACCAGCUUUGCAUGCACCACUCCAGCCCCUGUUGUCAGGGGCCACCAGUUCCAGGGCACCUCGGGGGUCAGAGAGAAGACGAGAUGGAGAAGUUCACGUUUGGAAUGUGACCAUGGGUCUUGGCUCCCAGCCCCGCUGCCCAGGGAACUAGGGGUGGGGUAGGCAAAGAAGAUGCUUACCUUGGGGAG
rnacentral:lncRNA from 1 species